UUUAUUUUGAAAAAGGAUUUUGUAAAAAAUAGAAGUUGAAAUUUGAUCACGCACUUUUAAAAAUAAAUUGAGGCACAUUUCGGGAAACAAUAAGUAAUGGAAAGACAAUUGUUUAGAUUGAUCACUCUGGUAGGAAUCCUUUAAAUUCCUCAGAAUUCCCUUGGUCGGGCAACUAUCACCCAAUGGGUGAUGACGAUGACUUCGAGAUCCAAUGGUACACGAUGGUUCCAGCUUCCUUGUACCUGGGAUUUUCUGCUUCAAUAAUAUGGGUUGCGGAGGGUACAUAUCUUACUUCUACAGCACGCAGUCAUGCACAUGAUUUAAACUUAGAAGAAGGAAACGUGAUUGGUAACUUCAAUGGAGAAUUUUGGGGAAUGUUUGCAGGUCACCAGGGGGGAACUACCAGUGGCAGUGGCACAACUUUACUACAUAUUGUGUUUGUUUGUAGUAUGACCUUAGGUACCAUGCUCAUGUGCUUCUUACAAAAGAGGGAUGCUAAAGGAGAGGAGACUUUACCAGAUUCUUCUGUCAGUUUCUACUCUUCCAUUGUUUGACUUACGAAUGCUAUUAAUCAUCCCCCUUAUUGCAUAUUCAGGCUUACAACAAGCAUUUGUAUGGGCUGAAUGCACCAAGUACAUUGCGAAACCUGCACUUGGUGAGUCUGGUGUAGGUGGUGCUAUGGCAGUGUAUGGAGCUUUUGAUGCAAUUGUAAGUAUGACACUGCAGAAAUGAGUAGCUUUAUGGAAUGGUUUACAUGAAUUAGCUCACUUGGUGAGUCUGUUUCUGUUUUACAUACAUUAAUUUUGACAAGGCAUGUUCUUCGUCUCUUUCUUGUUGGGUUGGAGAAAUAAAAAUGAAUUGAGUGAACAACUUUAAAUUUCAUUUACCCUUUCCUUUUGUAAGCAACAAGAAUAACAAAUAAUAUAUAUCGUUUUCCAUAUUUAUUCUCUAUGAGUUGUGUUGUGUGUUUGCAACAAUAUACAAAAUUUCAUUUAUUGCCCUGGUGGUACUUCACAUGGAUAAUAUGGAUGGAUAAUCAUAUCCUGUGUUCUGUUCCAUAAUCUUGUUUUUCCCACGGUAUGUGCAUUCAAGUUAUUACUCACAAUCUCUGCUAUGAUCUCUAGCCUCUUAUGUUUUAUAGGAAAUUAUUCAAUAAUAAUGUGGCAUAGGAUGUAAAUACUAUUACACCUCAAGUGCGCUAAAAGUUAAAAACCCAGGAAAACCAUCUUUGUUUUAUAAUUUGUCAUUUGUUUGAUUCAUUAAGUUUUUUAGACUCAGUUUAUAUCUGGAAUAUGU